AAGCGGCAACAGCUCAAAUUUGAAAUCUGGCGCAAGCCCGAGUUGUAAUUUGUAGAGGAUGCUUCUGGCCAGCGGCCGUUCUAAGUUCCUUGGAACAGGACGUCAUAGAGGGUGAGAAUCCCGUAUGUGACCGGCGCGCAGCCUUUACGUAGCUCCUUCGACGAGUCGAGUUGUUUGGGAAUGCAGCUCUAAAUGGGAGGUAAAUUUCUUCUAAAGCUAAAUACCGGCCAGAGACCGAUAGCGCACAAGUAGAGUGAUCGAAAGAUGAAAAGCACUUUGGAAAGAGAGUUAAAAAGCACGUGAAAUUGUUGAAAGGGAAGCGCUUGCAACCAGACUUCGUAGCGAUGUUCCGCCGGUCUUCUGACCGGUCUACUCAUCGUCGCGAGGCCAACAUCGUCUGGGGCCGCUGGAUAAGACCUAAGGAAUGUAGCUUCCCUCGGGAAGUGUUAUAGCCUGUGGUGAUGCAGCGUGUCUCGGGCGAGGUCCGCGCUUCGGCAAGGAUGUUGGCGUAAUGGUUGUCAGCGGCCCGUCUUGAAACACGGACCAAGGAGUCUAACAUCUAUGCGAGUGUUCGGGUGUCAAACCCCUACGCGUAAUGAAAGUGAACGGAGGUGGGAAGCGCAAGCUGCACCAUCGACCGAUCCUGAUGUCCUCGGAUGGAUUUGAGUAAGAGCAUAGCUGUUGGGACCCGAAAGAUGGUGAACUAUGCCUGAAUAGGGUGAAGCCAGAGGAAACUCUGGUGGA
rnacentral:rRNA from 1 species